UUCCAGACUCCUACGGGAGGCAGCAGUGGGGGAUAUUGCACAAUGGGGGGAACCCUGAUGCAGCGACGCCGCGUGAGCGAUGAAGUAUUUCGGUAUGUAAAGCUCUAUCAGCAGGGAAGAAAAUGACGGUACCUGACUAAGAAGCCCCGGCUAACUACGUGCCAGCAGCCGCGGUAAUACGUAGGGGGCAAGCGUUAUCCGGAUUUACUGGGUGUAAAGGGAGCGUAGACGGCAAUGCAAGCCAGAUGUGAAAGCCCGGGGCUCAACCCCGGGACUGCAUUUGGAACCGUGUAGCUGGAGUGUCGGAGAGGCAGGCGGAAUUCCUAGUGUAGCGGUGAAAUGCGUAGAUAUUAGGAGGAACACCAGUGGCGAAGGCGGCCUGCUGGACGAUGACUGACGUUGAGGCUCGAAAGCGUGGGGAGCAAACAGGAUUAGAUACCCCAGUA
rnacentral:rRNA from 1 species